GUAGGAGGCGAGCGUUAUCCGGGAUUUACUGGGGCGUAAAGCGCGUGCAGGGCGGUUUUCUAAGUCGGACGUGAAAGCUCCCGGCUCAACUGGGAGAGGUCGUUCGAAACUAGAAGACUUGAGGGUGGUAGAGGAGAGUGGAAUUCCCGGUGUAGUGGUGAAAUGCGUAGAUAUCGGGAGGAACACCAGUGGCGAAGGCGGCUCUCUGGGCCACUCCUGACGCUAAGACGCGAAAGCUAGGGGAGAAAACGGGAUUAGAAACCCCGGUAUUCCUAGCCGUAAACGAUGUCAACUAGGUGUAGGGGGUAUCCAACCCCCCUGUGUUGCAGCAAACGCGGUAAGUUGACCGCCUGGGGACUACGGCCGCAAGGCUA
rnacentral:rRNA from 1 species